AAAUAUAACUAAUAUUGACUGUGCUUCUGCUAUGUUCUGGGCACUGUGCUGGUCUUAAGGACCAAAUAGAAUAGAAGACAGUCUAUGUCUCAAUUCCUGUAUAGUCUUCUAGAGGAAACAGAUCAAGUCCCAGGUAGAAACUGAAACUCAGGACUUAUCAAAUGGUGGCCACUAUGGACUUUUUCGGCAUUAUUCCCAGAAGAGAGAAAGAUGUCACGAAAAAGGAAUCAAAAGCCAAUAAAAGUGGUUACCUACAGAGUGAAGGAAGAGAAUAGGGUGGAGGCGACUUUG